GUUUUGCUAACUACCUAUUUAUAUAAUGCCUCAGUAAAUCUUUUCUAGUCAUAAUAUUGAGCAUAACCAUGCGAACACUACUUGGUAUUCGCGAAAUUCUUAUUUUUGCACUCUGCUUGUCUUCUCUGAUGUCCUUUGUAGCAUCAGACGAUGAGGAAACCCCUGAAUUAGAUCCAGUUGAAUUAUGCAUCCUAGAAUGCGAUCGAUGUUUGAAAGGAUCUCAUCUUAUGACUUGUGCUAAUCUUUGCUUGAAAACAGAUGGCUUGAUUUAUUUCAAAGGACCUGGAGUAUGUCAUCUAUUCAACAGAAAAACUUUCAUCUAACGGAUCAAAUUAUAUAGAAAAUCUUUCAUGUAGGUACUGAAGAAUGUAUGAGUUAAAUGAAGAUACCCUCAAUAUAUGUAUUUUGUUUGA